rnacentral:lncRNA from 1 species
GUGAGAUUAUUGUAGUUUGACUGCACACAUACAUGGUCUCUAGUCAUAUGGGUCCAUGCAGUGUAGAUUGGCUGCAGUAAGUUCACUGUAGGAGUAGGGUAUGCACCUAUAAGAAAUCUAUCGACCUUGAUAGAAGAGGAGUGAUCCUAUGUGAUUUGUUAGACUGAGUUCUAAGACCUUGGCCAGGGCAGUAAUAUAAAGUGGAGAAAGAGUUUUUCACUAUCGAACUCAAGUCGAAUAAAUCUUGACAUAUGACAGACGAUGGGGUUUGACGAGUUGUCCAUGACCUCCGUUCUGUAGGGAUCCACGAUAGUAGGACUGUAUCACAUGAUAACUGCACCUAGAGGUUCAUCAUUCCAUUCUGCUGGAUAGCCACUACAUGCUGCUAGGUGUCACUGGUGGAUGGUGAGACUCACAGGGAUUAUCUCGAUGAUCGAUAAACC